rnacentral:lncRNA from 1 species
AUGGGGAAAUGGAGGGGACAGCCCCAGGGGACACGGGGGGACAGCGUGGAAAUGCUUCUGGGGGACACGGGGACAUUGUUACGGACAUGGGGACAUUGUUACAGCCAUGAGGACAUGGGGACAUUGUCACGGACAUGGGGACACGGGGACACUGUCACAGCCAUGGGGACACGGGGGGGACAGCGCGGAAACGCUUCUGGGGACACGGAGACGGGGACACUGUUACAGUCGUGGGGACAUGGGGACAUUGUGACAGUCAUGGGGACAUGGGGACAUUGUUACAGUCAUGGGGACAUGGGGACAUUGUCACAGCCAUGGGGACAUUGUUACAGCCAUGGGGAUACGGGGACAUUGUUACAGCCAUGGGGACAUGGGGACACUGUCACAGCCAUGGGGACAUGGGGACAUUGUCACAGCCAUGGGGACACAGGGACAUUGUUACAGCCAUGGGGACAUGGGGACACUGUCACAGUCAUGGGGACAUGGGGACAUUGUCACAGCCAUGGGGACAUUGUUACAGCCAUGGGGAUACGGGGACAUUGUUACAGCCAUGGGGACACUGUCACAGCCAUGGGGACAUGGGGACAUUGUCACAGCCAUGGGGACACAGGGAACAUUGUUACAGCCAUGGGGACAUGGGGGACACUGUCACAGUCAUGGGGACAUGGGGACAUUGUUACAGUCAUGGGGACACGGGGACACUGUCACAGCCAUGGGGACACCGGGGACAUUGUUACAGUCAUGGGGACAUGGGGACAUUGUCAUAGCCCCAGAGGGCACGGUGGGACAGUGUGGAAACGCUUCUGGGGACACGGGGACACUCCUCACAGUCGUGGGGACACGGGGACAUGGACCAGCCGUGGGGACAUGGUCAUAGCCAUGGGGACACGGGGACACUGUUACCGCCGUGGGGACGUGGGGACAUUGUCACAGCUGUGGGGACAUGGAGGGACAGCCCCAGGGGACACGGGGGAUACUGUCACAGCCGUGGGGACACAGGGACAUGGGAGGGGGACAGCACAGAAACGCUUCUGGGGGACAUGGGGACACUGCUACGGCCAUGGGGACACGGGGACAUUGUCACAGCUGUGGGGACACGGGGACAUUGGGGGACAGCACAGAAACACUUCUGUGGGGACAUGGUCCACAGCCAUAGGGACGCAGGGAUGA